CCCCAGAGAGCUCCUAGAGACUAAACCACUAACCAAAGAGACAUGGAGAAAUCAAGCUAGCACUCAAUGAAAGUUUCCUCCUUGAUGGCAGACCUUGGUAGUCAAGACGGCACUCCACAGGCUAUGUGGGGAGAACCCUUACUGACAUUGCCGAUCAGCUGUGGGCCUUCCAUACAGUGACAGGCAAGAUGGCCGAUGCAACAACGCUACAGCUAUUAUGGCUGCAACCAACUAGUUUCCAGUUGGAUUUAAGGCCAGCUUCAUGAGAAGGAAGCCAUGUUUGGUAAUUUAAUCCAGGACACAAAGCUGUAGUGCCAGCAAGUGUUGAACUGUCACCUAAACGUUUGAUCUCGAUCACAGAUUACUGCUGCUUCCAGCCUGCUGUAGAAGGAAAUGUACUUUGUGUGAAGGGAGAUGAGUUAUGGAGACUCAUGACAGGUCUGAAGCCAUGGGGCUGGGGGUGGAGGGUCAAAUGUCAACUGUAAAUAGAACAAAAUAAGUGCCACCCUUCCGAGGUUCAGGAACAUUGCAGAAGUGAAGGCAGAGAGGACACAGGAGAAAGGAGUGUCCUUGAGAAAGGGUGGAGGGUCGUGCAGAAAUUUCUUCCAGUUUAAAACUUAACCUCCUUGAGGGAGCUUUAUCAGCCUCAGGGAACUCAUGGAAUUUGUAAGUCACAGGAGGUUACAGUCGCUGGGGGAGAGGAGACUCACACUGAGCUGCCUUCAAACAGGUACUGAACUCCAGAAUCUUUUGUGAGCCAGCUCUCGCGCUGGAGUGGUGUUUUCAGUGAUCCCGAGUCUCUGUGCUUCUGUCAGAAACCUCCCAAGCAACAAUCCGAAAGCCAAAAACCAAAAAGCAAACCAAAACAAAAGGAGCACAGACAAUAAAUGGAAGGCAGGUACAGGCGUGGCAGGGGUAAGCCCAAAUACACUGACAGUCACUUUAAAAUGUGGGUGGUUUUAAAUGUACCAAUUAAAAGACAGAAACUGUAGUGACUUGGGAAAAAAAUAAGAUUUAAGUGUGUUGUCAUGCAAAACGUAUUCUAUUUCAAAUUUUAAAAAAAUUUAAACUAUAUGUA
rnacentral:sRNA from 1 species